CUCAUUCCAAUUACAGGGCCUCGAAAGAGUCCUGUAUUGUUAUUUUUCGUCACUAUCUCCUCGCGUCCGGAGUGGGUAAUUUGCGCGCCUGCUGCCUUCCUUGGAUGUGGUAGCCGUUUCUCAGGCUCCCUCUCCGGAAUCGAACCCUGAUUCCCCAUUACCCGUGGUCACCAUGGUAGGCGCAGAAAGUACCAUGGAAAGUUGAUAGGGCAG
rnacentral:lncRNA from 1 species